rnacentral:lncRNA from 1 species
AAAAAUAAAAUUAGGUAGGUGGGUUGGUGGGCCAACCCGGCUCACCACGGGUUCAACCCGCAUGAGCUGGGUCUAAAUGAGCCCGGUUGAAAUCUGACCCGCAUAUAAGUGGGUUGUAUUUUUCAAACCCAACCCGGCCCAACCCGUGACGGGCCGGGUUGGCUCGCGGGUUGUGACCCAUUUUGACGGCUCUACCCAUGACCCCAGGGUCAGUCCCAACCCACUAUUGAAAAAGCCCUAUUUUAAGAAGCCCCUUAAGUAGGGGGUCAAAAAAAAGCCCCAACCCCCAAAACCCCCUCUCAAGUGGGUUAGGGUCAGAGUUAAAGUGGAUUUAGCCC